UACAGAGGUCUCAAGCGUUGUUCGGAUUCAUUGGGCGUAAAGGGUGCGUAGGCGGCGCGGUAAGUCGGGUGUGAAAUCUUGGAGCUUAACUCCGAAACUGCAUUCGAUACUACCGUGCUUGAGGACUGGAGAGGAGACUGGAAUUUACGGUGUAGCGGUGAAAUGCGUAGAUAUCGUAAGGAAGACCAGUGGCGAAGGCGGGUCUCUGGACAGUUCCUGACGCUGAGGCACGAAGGUCAGGGGAGCAAACGGG
rnacentral:rRNA from 1 species